CAGAUAUGUCUCAUUUGCGUCGCACAUGCUUUACAUGUGUUGCAAAAGCCAAAUGUGCGUCGGAUACCCUGACUCAUGCGACGCAAAUUGUCUCUACACUAAAAAAAAAUUCAAACUAUGUGCGUCGCACGUCUUUUAGAUGCGUUGCAAAAUACCCAAUUUGCAACGCACCUAUUCAAUAUGCGACGCAUAUUAGGCCGCUAUACCCAUUUUAGUUCAUGAGGCCCAGCUCACUAUACACUUUUUAUUUCAGCGCCUCUCAGAAACCCUAGUUACAUGCCUCUCAAUUCUCACGCCUCUCCUUCCCCCUCCCCCCCCCCUCUCUCUCUCUCUCUCUCUACACCAACAACGACAUCUGAACACCGCCAACUCCCUAGUCACAUCCAGCUCAACGGCGUAGUGAAUCUCCGUCGAACACCGCCAACUCCCUCUCUCUCUCUCUUCGUUGUUUCCUGAGGAAUCUCCGUCGAACACCGCCGCUUCAAACACCAACAACGAUGCGUCUUUCUCCUCACCCUCAAACUAUCUCUCCUUACCCUCAAACUCUCUCUCUCCGGCGACUUCUGAACAACGAUGAACUCAAUCGACAACGACGAACUCUGAACAACGACGAACUCGAUCGACGAACUCUCUCUCUCCGGCGAACAGGAAAUUGAAGUUGAAGUUACGAACAGGAAAUUGACAAGAAAUUGAAGUUGAAGUUACGAACAGGAAAUUGAAGUUACUUUCUUUUUUAGAUCUCUGAUUUUUAUAUUAUUUUGUGUUCGAGUUGUAAAUUAUAGAAUCUUGGUGGUUUAAUGUUUUGUGUUGGAGUUGUAAAUUAUAAAAUUAUUGAAUUUUGUUGGUAUA